GGGCUCGCUUCGGCAGCACAUACACUAAAAAAAAAAAGGAACGAUACAGAGAAGAUUAGCAUGGCCCCUGCACAAGGAUGACACGCAAAUUAAUGAAGCGUUCUAUAUAAAA
rnacentral:snRNA from 1 species